CAGGCGCAGCCAGUGCGGUGACUCAUAAUUCCAGGAGAGAGAAGGACGGCAGGGAGCUGAUUUUCACCUGGCUGCCGCCCAGCACAGGUGCUCCACAGGUGCUGGAGUUCUGGGCAACAGUGGUCAAGGAUGAAGCCACGUUUUGGACAAAAAUCAAGUCAUCAGUGCUACUCUUAGAUGAAUCUGUGUCUGGCCCUCAUAAUUCAGAAUUUGCUGCAGGAUCGGGGACACACCUGUCGGGGGGUGUGUUUGUCAUCGCUGCCUCAGCUUGUGUGUGGAUCACCUGGUGUGUUUGAUGUCGGAUAACUGUUGACACAAAGUCUCCUCAUAGGAUUUCCAGCUAGGAAUGCCUUUUAGUUAUCUCUCAUUCUUUU